rnacentral:tRNA from 1 species
GCCCUUAUCGUUCAAUGGAUAGGACAGGGAUUUCCUAAAUCUCAAACCCAGGUUCGACUCCUGGUAAGGGCA